CCCCUCUCUCUCUCCAAUGCCAUCUCCUUCCUCCCAUCUUCCCAAAAUACCCUUCUCUUCUUCUUCUUAUUCCAAAAAUCUCUCCAAAACCACCAUCCAAAACCUUCUCAAAAGCGGUUUCAGUCCCACCAUCAAAGCCCUAAACUGCCUCCUCCUCUCCCUCUCUAAAACCCAUCGAUUCCAAUCCAUUCUCCACAUCUUCUCCCAGUUGUCUUCCAACAACAUCAAAGGGAACUACCUUACAUAUUCAAUCAUCUCAAAAACCCUCCUCAAGCAGAGCAGAUUCGAAGAAACAGAGCAUUUCAUCGUCCGGAUGUCGAAAGACGGCUUCUUUCCUGAAAAGGGUGUAUACAGUUCUCUAAUUCAGGGAUUCUGCAGUGUAGAAAAAGACCCAGAAAGUGCUUUCUCCGUGUUGCAUCGAUGCCUGAGAAAUCACGGUAUUUUCCCCUCUCGUUCUGCUUUCUACUCGUUGAUUUUCAGCUUCUGCACUCAGGGUAAGAUGGAUAGAGCAAUUGAGGUCUUGGAAAUGAUGGUAGAGGCCAAAAUCAAAAACCCAUUUGACGAUUUCGUCUGUAGUUCGAUAAUUUCCGGGUUCUGUAAAAUCGGAAAGCCCGAAAUUGCAUUUGGGUUUUACGAGAAUGCAGUGAAAAAUGGGUUUUUCCAGCCGAAUGUUGUAACUUACACUGCUGUUGUAAAUGCGCUCUGCAAGGAAGGUAGAAUUGAGGAGGUUUCUGAUUUGGUUUGCGAGAUGGAGAAGAAAGGCAUUGUUUUGGAUGCUGUUUUUUACAGCAGUUGGAUUUGUGGCUAUUUUCGGGAAGGCGUGUUAGACGAGGCGUUCCGGAGGCAUAGAUUGAUGGUUGAAAACGGGAUAAAGCCAGAUACUGUUAGCUAUACGAUUCUUGUUGAUGGGUUUUCCAAGGAAGGAAAUGUGGAGAAGGCGGCCGGGUUCUUGAGUGCGAUGGAGAAGGACGGUCUCGUUCCGAAUUUGGUUACAUAUACUUCAAUCAUGCGGGGUUUUUGCAAGAAGGGGAAGUUGGAAGAAGCGUUUGGCAUUUUUCGGAAGGUGGAGGAAAUGGGGAUUGGUGUGGAUGAGAUUACAUAUGCGGUAUUGAUUGAUGGGUUGUGUCAGGAAGGGGAUUUGGAUCAGGUUUUCUGCUUGCUUGAGGAAAUGGAGGCGAAGGGGAUUGGAGCUGGCAUUGUCACGUACAAUACUGUGAUUAAUGGGUUGUGUAAGCUUGGGAAAACCCAUGAGGCGGACAGGAUCUCGAGGGGUAUUUUGGGCGAUAAUUUUACUUAUAGCUCAUUGAUGGACGGUUACAUUAAGGGAGGGGAUAUAGCAGGGGUUUUGGAAACAAAGAGGAGAUUGGAGGAAGCUGGUGUUUGUAUGGAUGUUGUUAUGUGUAACGUACUUAUGAAAGCAUUAUUUAUGAUGGGGCAAUUUGAAGAUGCUUAUAAGCUCUAUAAGGGAAUGGGCGAGAUGGGCUUGGUUGCCAAUUCCAUUACUUUCUGUAUUAUGAUUGAUGGGUCGUGUACAUUAGGAAGGAUUGAUGAAGCGCUUGAGAUAUUCGAUGAUUGUAGAAGAGCUCCUUCGGUUUGUAGCACCACAACUUAUAAUUCCAUCAUUAGAGGACUUUGUAGGGAAGGUAUGGUAGAUAUUGCGAUUGAAGCGUUUAAUGAUCUCACCAGGAGAGGUUUAGAUCCUGAUGCUACUGCUUACAUGACCUUGAUCAAGGCAAAGUUUGAGGGAAGUGGCGAAAGAGGUGUUUUGGAGUUUCUAGAUGUGCUCUCGGAAUUAGAGCCGAAGACGCAAAUCUUGAUAUGCAACAAGGCGAUUUGUUUCUUAUGUAAGAGGGGUUGUGUUGAUGCUGCCUCCGACGUGUACAUGUUAAUGAGGAGGAAAGGCUUGGUUGUGAGAAGCAAGUCGUACUAUCAGAUACUCAAAGGGCUUAUCUGUAAGGGAAACAAACAGCUGGUUCAAGUGAUGCUGAACUCGUAUAUUAAAGAAUAUGGCAUUUUAGAAUAUAGGAUGAACAAGAUUCUAGUUCGGUACUUGUGUAAGAAGGACGUGAAAGAAGCGCUACAGUUUCUUGAUGAGGAGGAAAAUAUAUCUGUCAGUGUGUUGACUGAGCUUAUCGAUGCGCUUACAAAAGAAGGUAGAGUUCGAGAUGCACAUAAGCUUGUUAUGGAAGCUGAAGGAAAUGGAAUGAGUUUGGAUGUAGUCGUUUAUUCUAUUGUAGUUGAUGGGCUAUGCAAGGAAGGGUAUCUUGAAGAGGCAUUAAAUCUUUGUGUGAGCAUGAGAAAGAAGGGAAUCCAGCCGAACAUCGUCACUUACAAUUCAGUGAUCGAUGGUUUGUGCCGGCAGGGAUGUCUUGUGGAAGCGUUUAGGCUAUUUGAUUCAUUGGAGAAAAAUGAUAUGAUCCCUACUAUCAUAACACAUGCUAUUCUCAUAGGAGCUCUAUCUAAAGAAGGUUUUUUAGAAGAUGCCGCCAAGCUGUUUGAGAAGAUGCUUCUCAAGGGUUUGACUCCAAAUACCCACAUUUAUAACUCGCUGAUAAAUGGGUAUUGCCGAUUUGGUUCGAUGGAGGAAGCAUUGAAGCUUCUUUCCAAUUUGGAGAGAAGUUGCCUACAACCGGAUGCUUUUACGGUCAGUGCUUUGAUUAACGGCUGCUGUCGAAAAGCUGACAUGGAAGGUGCCCUUGGGUUCUAUGGCGAGUUCAAAAGGAAUGGAGUUCUCCCGGACUACUUGGGUUUCCUUAAUUUGAUAGGAGGCCUCUGCACAAAAGGCAGGAUGGAAGAAGCAAGGAGCAUUUUGAGAGAGAUGCUUCAAAGCCAGUCAGUGGCAGAGCUGAUAAACAAAGCAGGUGAUGAGAUCAAUAUUGAUUCAUUAACAAGCUUUCUCAAUCUUUUAUGUGAGCAAGGAAGCAUUCAAGAAGCUGCCCAUGUCCUUGGUGAAGUAGGAUCUUUGAUUUUCCCUUUGAGGACCUCUACUCAUAACACUGGACCUAAAAAGCUCAAGAAGCUAAACGAAGGGGAGGCUAUGAGUAGGGAUAGCCAGAGAUUGGACUCUGAAAGUGGCGGUGGUGUUCCUCGAUUGGUUGAGAAAUUGCCUAGAAAUUUUGGUAGUGGUUUAGGCUCAGAGUCUAUAACCACAGACAUGGAUGAUUUGGAUUUUAAACACCGCAAGGAGGAGAAAGAAGAUGGCCGUAGGGAAGAUUACGAUUUGAUGGGAAAAUCGAAAUUUGGCAACUUCAUUGCUUACUAUUCCGUCAUCACAUUGCUCUGUUCGAAAGGAGAGCUACAAAAGGCUAAUACAGUAGCAAAAGAAAUGCUUUUGGAUUUGAAAGAGCUUGGUUGAUUCAGCCUCUUUGUUACGGACUGACUCCAGAAGGUAACUGCUUCCUCCAUGCUGGGGCGGGACAAUAAACCAUGCCAACGCAAACCACAGGUGUGGGAUGACUACUACACAUGAGGUUGGGAAGAAUGAGAUUCAACGCAGCGGAUGUGAUGAAGGCAUCAGUUAUGGGACUACAUGUAGAGCUGCUGCUUUGUCAUGAGCCAUGUUGAUGUGGAAUGAGGAAGAGAUGCAAGCAGGCACAGAAACAACAGAGAACAGAAUGACACGAUCAACAAGACCUGCAAUUAGACGGAAAUCAAGUCUGAUGGCAUGCAUGUAUGAAUCUUCUGCAAACUUCGAGUUUCACUGAUUCUAUACUUACCUUUACGCGUAGCGCAUGUGCUAGCGUGUGCGAGAUGUGCAAGAUCCUAGCUGCCCAUCAAAUGCGCUCCGUAUCUAUAUGCAAUGGCCCAUUAAUCAGUAUGGUCCAUUAACUAGGAUGGCUACCCUCGCGGAUUGGAUUGGUCUGUCAGCCCUCUAUUUACCUCAUCUUUUUAACUAUCAAUUGUUUGUUGUAUGCAUCUCCCUCCACCUUGUGGGGCCCAUGACAGUCCAAAAUUGGCCAUUAAACUGUACACUUGGUAUAUUUUACCAUGGAGCAAUAAAACUAAUGGACUUCUUGA